UGCCAGCCGCCGCGGUAAUACGGAGGAGGCUAGCGUUGUUCGGAAUUACUGGGCGUAAAGCGCGCGUAGGCGGACUUUCAAGUCAGGGGUGAAAUCCCGAGGCUCAACCUCGGAACUGCCUUUGAUACUGUAAGUCUUGAGUCCGAGAGAGGUGAGUGGAAUUCCUAGUGUAGAGGUGAAAUUCGUAGAUAUUAGGAAGAACACCAGUGGCGAAGGCGAUCUCUUGGUCCAUAACUGACGCUGAGGCGCGAAAGCGUGGGGAGCAAACAGGAUUAGAUA
rnacentral:rRNA from 1 species